rnacentral:rRNA from 1 species
UACGUAGGGGGCGAGCGUUGUCCGGAGUUACUGGGCGUAAAGGGCAUGCAGGCGGUCGGACGCGUUUUGUGUGACAGCGGGUGGCUUAACUACCCGAGCAUGCGAAAGACGGUUGGACUUGAGGGCCCGAGAGGGACACGGAAUUCCGGGUGGAGUGGUGAAAUGCGUAGAGAUCCGGAGGAACACCGAAGGCGAAGGCAGUGUCCUGGCGAGUGACUGACGCUGAGGUGCGAAAGCCAGGGGAGCGAACGGG